rnacentral:rRNA from 1 species
GACGUAGGGCGCGAGCGUUGUCCGGAUUUAUUGGGCGUAAAGAGCUCGUAGGCGGCUUGUCGCGUCGGCUGUGAAAACCCGCGGCUCAACUGUGGGCGGGCAGCUGAUACGGGCAGGCUGGAGUUCGGUAGGGGAGACUGGAAUUCCCGGUGUAGCGGUGAAAUGCGCAGAUAUCAGGAGGAACACCGGUGGCGAAGGCGGGUCUCUGGGCCGAUAUUGACGCUGAGGAGCGAAAGCGUGGGGAGCGAACAGG